rnacentral:rRNA from 1 species
AGAACGAACGCUGGCGGCAUGCCUAACACAUGCAAGUCGAACGCUCUUGGGGCUUCGGUUCCAAGGGAGUGGCGCACGGGUGAGUAGCGCGUGGGAACCUGCCCUGGAGUGGGGGAUAACCGAGGGAAACUUCGGCUAAUACCGCAUACGCCCGGGGGAAACUCCGGGGAAAGAUUUAUCGCAGCAGGAGGGGCCCGCGUCGGAUUAGGUAGUUGGUGGGGUAACGGCCCACCAAGCCUGUGAUCCGUAGCUGGUCUGAGAGGAUGAUCAGCCACACUGGGACUGAGACACGGCCCAGACUCCUACGGGAGGCAGCAGUGGGAAUAUUGGACAAUGGGCGCAAGCCUGAUCCAGCAAUGCCGCGUGAGUGAUGAAGGCCUUCGGGUUGUAAAGCUCUUUCGCACGCGACGAUGAUGACGGUAGCGUGAGAAGAAGCCCGGCUAACUUCGCGCAGCAGCCGC